AAAGAACUGAAAUUUACAUUCUAAAUUGUACUGAGCAUACACGUACUCCCUUGCAACCAAGGAUUUUGAUUGGUCAACAAAACAUGAACCAUGUGUUGAGAAGGUACUGAACACUAAAUGGAGGUUUAUUUUGUAAUCCCAGGGUUCUCCUAUCCCUAGCACAAAGAGGAAAAAUCCACUCUCAAUAUGAAAAGGCACUUGUAACCUUCUCCUUAGUAGAGAAAUAUUGCUGACUGCUCUUCUUGUGCAUGGGUACAUUACUGUAAUACAUAAAAUUCCUUUUGCCUUAUUUUUCUCUUUCCAAGUUUUUUAUUCUAAUCUCUCUGUGCGUGUUGCGUAUAUUAU
rnacentral:misc_RNA from 1 species